rnacentral:rRNA from 1 species
UUACGAUACAUGGCACGCUUGAGACAUCGGCUUAGAGAGUUCGAUCUGAAAUCUGUAAGAAGAUAUGGAAUCGAAUGAUGACGGUCUUACUGAGUCCGAGCUAUUACGUCCAGCAGUUCGGUAAUCGUGAGUGGCGAGGGUUAUCGAUUUUGGCUUAGGUCGCGUUAGAGUGUGUGAAUAAGUCACAGCUAAAAUGGAGCUCACUCCAUAGCGCUUGGAUCCUAUUUACUAGAGGUUAGAAGAUGUAGUGGAAUUUCAUAUGUAGCCGGUGGAAUGCUGAUAUAUGAAGAACACCAUAGCGAAGGCGACUACAGGUCUAUUCCUGACAUUGAGGCAUGAGAGCGCGGGGAGCAAAUCGGAUUAGAUACCCGAGUAGUCCGCGCGUAAACGCUGGGUACUAGAUAUGUCAGUUAAGAGAAUGUCGAAGUUAACACGUUAAGUACCCCGCCUGGGGAGUAUGCGCGCAAGCGUAAAACUCAAAGGAAUUGACGGGAACCCGCACAAGCGGUGGAGCAUGUGGUUUAAUUCGAAGCAACGCGAAGAACCUUACCAAGGUUUGACAUUUACUGCAAAACUGUAGAAAUACAGCCGAGGCUAACAGUAAACAGAUGGUACAUAGUUGUCGUCAGUUCGUGUCGUGAGAUGUAGGGUUAAGUCCCCCAACGAACGCAACCCUUGUUGCUAGUUGCUAACAUUAAGUUGAGAACUUUAGCAGGACUGCCAGUUACAAACUGGAGGAAGGAGAGGAUGACGUCAAAUCAGUAUGCCUCUUACACCUUGGGCUACACACGUGCUACAAUGGCAAAUACAAAAAGUUGCAAACUUGCGAAAGUGAGCUAAUCUUUAAAAUUUGUCUCAGUUCGGAUUGAAGUCUGAAACUCGACUUCAUGAAGUCGGAAUCGCUAGUAAUCGUGAAUCAGCAAUGUCACGGUGAAUACGUUCUCGGGUUUUGUACACACCGCCCGUCAAACCACGAAAAUUGAUAGUUCCAGAAGGUAAACAUCCAACCGUAAGGAGGAUUUUAACCAAGGAAAGAUCAGUGAUUGGGGUUAAGUCGUAACAAGGUAACCGUA